rnacentral:lncRNA from 1 species
AAAAAAGUGAUAGUUAACAGACAUAAAUAAAUAAUAUUUCGUUAUAUCGACUUCAUGUUUUUACACACAUUCCAGAAUUAUCCUACCACCCACCCCAAAACAAAAACUAUCCUGCCUAGGUUUCAUUGUAUAGGUCACUCUUUCAUUUUUGUCUGUUUCGGAAAAGAAUGACAUCUUUCUAUAUUUAGAAACCAUUUAGCCUUCACUCUUCCAUUUUACCCUUAUGACAUGCUCUUUUAUAUAUAGCCGUAAAAAUGUCAAUAGCAUAUUUAGGACCAUAAGUUUUAGGAUACUUUUGGCAUGUGCCAAAUUAGACUCCUCGCCCAGCCAAAUACUGCCAAAUAAAAUGAAAUGAGACAUGAGAGUAAUCAUUAAUAUUUGAGCACUCUUUACCCUUUGAAUGAUGUCAGCACCCAACUUUUCAUCUGCAUCUUCGAGCUUGUCCUUAAUCGCAGGGACAUAAGUUGAUAGAUGAACAAAGGCAGCACCACCACCAGGUACUAUUCCCUCUUCGAUUGCAGCAAAAGUUGCAUUCUUUGCAUCCUCAAUGCGAAGCUUGCGGUCCUCAAGCUCAGCCUCUGUAGCAGCUCCGACCUUGAUGACGGCAACACCCCCAGACAACUUGGCGAUUCUCUCAGCAAGUUUCUCAGAGUCGUAAACCGAGUCUGUCUCGGACAACUCCUUUUUGAGCUGAGCAAUCCUAGCCUGUAUCUCAUCCU